AGGACUAACGCUGGCGGCGUGCCUAACACAUGCAAGUCGAACGAGGUAGCAAUACCUAGUGGCAGACGGGUGAGUAACGCGUGGUCAACCUACCUCUUAGUGGGGGAUAACUAGCCGAAAGGUUAGCUAAUACCGCAUACGAUCGUCGCGAGGCAUCUCGUGACGAUGAAAGGAGCAAUUCGCUAAGAGAGGGGACUGCGUCCCAUUAGUUAGUUGGUGGGGUAAUGGCCUACCAAGACUCCGAUGGGUAGCUGGCUUGAGAGAGCGACCAGCCACACUGGAACUGAGACACGGUCCAGACUCCUACGGGAGGCAGCAGUGAGGAAUUUUCCGCAAUGGGCGCAAGCCUGACGGAGCGACGCCGCGUGUGGGAAGAAGGCCUUCGGGUCGUAAACCACUGUCGAAGGGGACGAUAUUGACGGUACCCUUGGAGGAAGCCCCGGCUAACUACGUGCCAGCAGCCGC
rnacentral:rRNA from 1 species